AUUGAACGCUGGCGGCAGGCCUAACACAUGCAAGUCGAACGGUAACAGGAAGCAGCUUGCUGCUUUGCUGCCGAGUGGCGGACGGGUGAGUAAUGUCUGGGAAACUGCCUGAUGGAGGGGGAUAACUACUGGAAACGGUAGCUAAUACCGCAUAACGUCGCAAGACCAAAGAGGGGGACCUUCGGGCCUCUUGCCAUCGGAUGUGCCCAGAUGGGAUUAGCUAGUAGGUGGGGUAACGGCUCACCUAGGCGACGAUCCCUAGCUGGUCUGAGAGGAUGACCAGCCACACUGGAACUGAGACACGGUCCAGACUCCUACGGGAGGCAGCAGUGGGGAAUAUUGCACAAUGGGCGCAAGCCUGAUGCAGCCAUGCCGAGUGUAUGAAGAAGGCCUUCGGGUUGUAAAGUACUUUCAGCGGGGAGGAAGGGAGUAAAGUUAAUACCUUUGCUCAUUGACGUUACCCGCAGAAGAAGCACCGGCUAACUCCGUG
rnacentral:rRNA from 1 species